rnacentral:rRNA from 1 species
CCUACGGGAGGCUGCAGUAGGGAAUAUUGCUCAAUGGGGGAAACCCUGAAGCAGCAACGCCGCGUGGAGGAUGAAGGUUUUGGGAGUGUAAACUCCUUUUGGUAGAGAAGAGAAUGACGGUAGAUAAGGAAUACGAACCGGCUAACGCAGUGCCAGCAGCGGCGGUAAUACGGAGGGUGCAAGCGUUACUCGGAAUGACUGGGCGUAAAGAGCGCGUAGGCGGGAUGGCAGGUAAGCUGUGAAAUCCUAUGGCUUAACCAUAGAACUGCAGUUGAAACUUUUAUUCUAGAGUAUGGGAGAGGUAGGUGGAAUUCUUGGUGUAGGGGUCAAAUCCGUAGAGAUCACG